AAAUCACUGAGCUCGAGUCUCGACAAGAUGGUGUAGAUCGAUUUUGGCCAAUUACAUAAAGAACGAUAAUGAUUUCAAAACCACGUGCGAUAAAGCCUAUAUUUAUCGACGGAGAUAUGAAAUGAAUUUUUCUCGGCAAAUAGCAAUGUGAUGGAUAGAUUGCAAGAGGAAAGGAGAAAAUGGGGGUGAGCGUUUAUCGACCUGGUUAGGUUGCUGGAUACCAAAGGAAAACCCACGCAUCUUAGCUAUUGAAAUUCCUCGGAAAUAU